rnacentral:pre_miRNA from 14 species
GAUUAGGUGUGGUUGAAAGACCCCCGAAGGGAGCCCCCCACUCAAGUCUCGGGAAAGACGCGCACCCAGUAGGACACAGACACCG